AACCUGCGGAAGGAUCAUUACAGUAUUCUUUUGCCAGCGCUUAAUUGCGCAUGCUGCUCCGUGAUACACUAUGUUUUUUUAAUUUGAAACUUUUGCUUAUGCUCGCUGAUGAUGCUCGUUGGGCCAAAGGUUUUAAUUCAAACUUCAAUAUGCUGCUCGAAUUGUUAUUUUAAUUUUAUUGUCAAUUUGUUGAUUAAAUUCAAAAAUCUUCAAAACUUUCAACAACGGAUCUCUUGGUUCUCGCAUCGAUGAAGAACGCAGCGAAAUGCGAUAAGUAAUAUGAAUUGCAGAUUUUCGUGAAUCAUCGAAUCUUUGAACGCACAUUGCGCCCUUUGGUAUUCCAAAGGGCAUGCCUGUUUGAGCGUCAUUUCUCUCUCAAAUCUUCGGAUUUGGUAUGCUCGCUGUCUCUUAGUCAGACUAAGCGUUUGCUUGAAAUGUAUUGGCAUGAGUGGUACUAGAUAGUGCUGAACUGUUUUCAAUGUAUUAGGUUUAUCCAACUCGUAUGCUCGCUGAAAGUAUUUGUUUAUUACACAGGCUCGGCCUUACAACAACAAACAAAGUUUGACCUCAAAUCAGGUAGGACUACCCGC
rnacentral:rRNA from 1 species